rnacentral:rRNA from 1 species
AACGAACGCUGGCGGCAGGCCUAACACAUGCAAGUCGAACGCCCAGUAAUGGGAGUGGCGCACGGGUGCGUAACGCGUGGGAAUAUGCCCUUCACUACGGAACAACGUUUGGAAACGAACGCUAAUCCCGUAUAAUGACUCCGGUCCAAAGAUUUAUCGGUGAAGGAUUAGCCCGCGUCAGAUUAGCUAGUUGGUGAGGUAAUGGCUCACCAAGGCAACGAUCUAUAGGGGGUCUGAGAGGAUGAUCCCCCACACGUGAACUGAGACACGGUCCCACCUCGGACGGGAAGCAGUAGUGAGGAAUAUUGGAGAAUGGUCGCAAGCCUGAUCCAGCCAUGCCGCGUGGGUGAAGAAGGCCUUCGGGUUGUAAAGCUAUGUUAACGGUGAAGAUAAUGACGGUAGCCGUAGAAAAAGCCCCGACUAAAUUCGUGCCAGCCGCCGCCGUAA